rnacentral:rRNA from 1 species
UACGAAGGGGGCUAGCGUUGCUCGGAAUCACUGGGCGUAAAGCGCACGUAGGCGGAUUGUUAAGUCAGGGGUGAAAUCCUGGAGCUCAACUCCAGAACUGCCUUUGAUACUGGCGAUCUUGAGUUCGGGGAGAGGUGAGUGGAACUGCGAGUGUAGAGGUGAAAUUCGUAGAUAUUGGGUAAGAACACCAGUGGCGAAGGCGGCUCACUG